rnacentral:lncRNA from 1 species
GCUUCCUUCAUUGUGUUUAGGUACCAACACUGCAUUUGGAAUCCAAUGUUUUACUUACUCGGUGUGCAUGGACUCAUAUCAGUAUGCUGUUGAUUACUGCAACAAGGAGUGCAAAAUACUUGGUUAUGACAGCCAGAAAGGCUACUGUAAAAAGGAGAAUCGCGGCAUGUGUUGUUGUGCCUAAAGUUACAUUCAUUUUAUAUUGUCAUUUUGUAGUAAAGCAUUGCAUGUAUUUACUAGCCAGAAUACUAAUUUUUCUAGAUUAUACGAGAAUUUCAAUACAGUAUACAGGUAGUUGCUUUCGAAGACCAACUUGAAUAGCCGAUCAAUUCUUCGGGUCAUAUGAGCCAUCAAUGUGCCAGCUAAAAAUUGGAAGUACUGAUAAACUGAAAAAAUUAAAUUUGGGAGAGAAUUAAUGGAAUUAUAUGAGAAACACAUUGGGUAUAUGAAAUUUUAUCAUUAAACGAUGCUAGUUAAUACCAACUGAUGGAUGUAAAACUCAAAAAAGUCCAUAUUUGAAUCCUGGACUAUCACAAAUGUCUAAGAACCAACCCCAAUCUUUGAAACGAUCUAACUUGCAAUUGUAAACUGUCAAAGUCAAUCAAGUUUCAACUUUUCCUCUCCUCAAACCGGUAUUUGGUGAGUUGAAGUGGUUUUGAACAGUUGACCGCCUAGUCAGCUGCCAUGUCACUUAAUAUUUUUACUAAAUAUGUAUUUUAUUACAUGUUGUAAUCUAUUUGGCGGGAAUGGCCCUGUAGUUGAGAAAAAACCAGAUAAAAGCAUUGGGCAUUUCAUCACUAUUACAACUCUUGUAUCCACGAGAUGUAGGAUUUGUGCUACUGUAUUAAACAUUUCUAUCACUAGUUCAGAAUAACACUCCAUGGUCUGCCUGCUGUAAGCCUCUCCCUGACUCACUCUCUGUGAUCCUAGGUACCUACAAGGACAAAGAACGCGGAUGAGACAAGAGAAAUCAAUGAAGCAAUUUUAUGUUACACAUACGGGACGUAAAUUCAAAGUACUUCCAUAGGUAUCCCUCUAAUAAAUACAUAGGGUUGUAAGGCUAUGCCUUAAUCCAUGACGAUACCUUAGAUAAGGAGAACAGGUCACAAGUACAAUCCAUCAAUGAACACAUCAUGAAUAUUGAUUGAUAAUAUGUCUUACAAUAAUUGCCGGAUGUGAUAGACGAUUACAAAGUAUGGCUAGUUGGAUGAGUUCUUGGUGGGUGGAGAUGGUGGCGGCUAUGAAAUGAGAUGCAAAAUGGCGGUGGCUAGGGUUAAUUUGGACAAUGAAGAUUGAGGUUUGGGCGAUGCUCUGAUGCUAUUAUGUGAUUGAGCCCUUCAUGGUAUAUAUUUGUAGGGUUGGUCCAGGAGACCUUUAGCAAUCCAUAUGACAGCUCAUACGAGCGUGUGCGGUCGUAUGGAACAUGGUCUUGCUUUGUUCUUCCUGGAGUGUCUCCCACUUGAUCUCCUCUAUAUCCUGUUUACUCCCUUCCAUGUAUAUGCUUUAUUUCCUCCAUAUUUAACCCAUUUCCUAUGGAAAUAAAAUAAAGAUCGGACAUUUGGAAUCCUUUGCAUUGAUUAGUUGUUUGUAGUAAUAUCAGAGUGAAUAUCUUGGUUUUUAAGAAAUAUAUCGGUUUAUGCUCAUGUAUCAUGAGUGCAAGAACAACAGUUGUCAAUUACACCGAGCUUAGACUUGAUCAUCCUUGACCAACGUCGAGGAAAAUCCAAAACAUAAGGAACUCAGUUGUUUACACCAAAUAAGCGAUUAGGUUUUGCUUCACUUAUGAUCAACACACCUAGAUAACCCUACACUUCUUGACUUCUAAACUUAGUAUAGGUAUAGCGGUGACAUGGUUAUUAUGCAAGUGUUAGCGAAGCAAAGAUAAUCAGCACAAAGCUCUUGCUCAACUAGACAAAACAAUAAAGUAACUAUUGAUUCUAUUUUUGCGACUGAACACUUGCUUGUCGGGAAUGCACGAAGGUGAUUGCAUUUCUUGAGAAAUGAAAGCAUGUAUUAGGGAGUGAAACUUAUGCAACGACAACAUCAUUCUAGAGUAACUCUAACUCACCCACAAGUGUCUCAUCAUCAAGGAUCUCACGAACUUUAUUUAAAUCAUUGCUUGCUGAAUCUUUUGUUGUCUGGUGAUGGGAUGCCAAUGAAAGGAUGAAAAAUAAGGUUUUGUUGUGCUUUAAGUUUGAGUAUUAUGAACUAAUAUGUUGCGACUACGUACGGUAACAUAAUCAUAGCUGAAACUAGAGUCGAAACUCUAGUGGAUCGUUCAUUGUCCAGUGGAGUUCUCAGCAUUUGUAUCUCUAACAACAUCUUCUCUAAAAGUAUUUUCAACACCCAAGUCUUGUGAGACUUUCUGUUGUGCAUUGUUAUUCUUUGUUAACAUAUUAAUUUAUUUUAAUAGCCUGAUUUUCAUGGAUUACUUCAGAAAGUUACAAAUACAUAUUUUUUCUCUAAGUUUUGGAAAGUGGUUGCUCCGAUGCCCUGAGCCAUUCAAUGUUCGUAUUAUUAUAUGAAAUUUAAUAUGCAUGGAAACGACCUCUAAAAUGUAACUUUGGACCAUAAUAUUUUUUUAUGUAAGGAUACAAGUCAAUAUGGCAAUUAGAUUAUACCAAAACUAGGAAGAAACCAUUAAUACGAAAAAUAAUAAAGGGGCAAGAAUCAUUGUGCAUUGGCUCCUCUUUAUAAACACCGGUGCUAGAAAGAUACGCUCAGAGAAGGACAACAUCAAGAGAAAAUAAACACCAGUGUUGGAAAGAUAUGUUCAGAGAAGGACAACAUCAAGAGAAAAUGAGUAAUAGCAAGGCGGUCUUGAUGAUGGCACUUAUCAAGAACAAGACACGCAUUCUCUUUUGUGUUGCUCUUUUGUUGACGUGUACCACUUUUCUGUGUGGCCUAGCGGCAGCGGGGAGGGACAUAGGUAAUUGCCAAAUUAGUUUCCGAGAUGAGUUUCUUGAUAUAAAACAGAACAAAAUGAUUAUGUAUCAUUCUUUCUGUACAUAUUAAUUUGUAUGUUGUGGUUCUUCCUUCAUUGUGCUUAGGUACCAAGGCUGCAUUUGGAAUCCAAUGUUUUACUUACUCAGUGUGCAUGGACUCAUAUGAGUAUGCCGUUGAUUACUGCAACAAGGAGUGCAAAAUACUUGGUUAUGACGGCCAGAAAGGCUACUGCAAGAAGGAGAAUCGUGGCGUGUGUUGUUGUGCCUAAAGUUAAAGACAUGUUAUAUUGUCAUUUUGUAGAAAAUCAUUGCAUGUAUUUGCUUGUCAGAAUACUAAUUUAUAUGGAUUAUACGAGAAUUUCAAUAACAUAUACUGGUAGUUGCUUGCGAAGACCAACUUCUCUAGCCAAUCAACUCUUCAGGUCAUAUGAAUCAACAAUGAGCCAGCUAAAAAGUGGAAGUACUGAUAACUUAAAAUUUUAAAUUAGGGAGUGAAUUAAUGGAAAUAUAUGAGAAAUACAUUGGGUAUAUGAAAAUUUGUAAUUCAACGAUGCUAGUUAAUACCAACUGAUGGAUGUACAACUCAAAAAAAGUCCAUAUUCGAACCCUGGACUAUCACAAAUGUCUAAGAACCAACCCCAAACUUUGAAACAAUCUAUCUUGCAAUUCUAAAUUGUCAAAGUCGAUCAACUUUCAACUUUUCCUCUCCUCAAACCGGUAUUUGGUGCGUUGAAGUGGUUUGGAACAACUGAUCGCCUAGUCGGCUGCCAUGCCACUUAAUAUUUUUCCUGAAUUUGUAUUUUAUUGCAUGUUGUAAUCUGUUUGGCGGGAUCGGCCAUAUAGUUGAUAAAUAAUCAGAUAAUAGCAACGUGAAUUUAAUGGCUACAACUCUUAUAUCCCAAAGAUAUAGAAUCCGGGCUACCGUACUAAACUUUUCUGACACUAGUGUUCAGAAUAGCAUCUCAUGGUCUACCUGCCGUUAGCCUCUCUCUGACUCACUCUCUAUGAUCCUAGGUACCUGCAAGGACGAAGAAUGUAUAUGAGACAAGAUACAUCCAUGAAGCAAUUUUAUGUUACACAUACGGGACAAAUUCAAAGUACUUCUAUAUAUCCCUCCAAUAAAUACAUAGGGUUUUAGGGCAAUGCCUCAACCCAUGAUGAUACCUUAGGUAUGGAGAACAGAUCACAAGUACAAUCCAUCAAACAACACAUCAUGAACACUGAUUUAUAAUAUGUCUUACAAUAAUUGCCUGAUGUGAUAGACGAUUACAAAUUAUGGCUAAUUGGAUGAGUGCUUGGUGGGUGGAGAUGGUGGCGGCUAUGGAAAUGAGAUGGGAAAUGGCGGUGGCUAGGGUUAAUCUGGACGAUGAAGAUUGAGGUCUGGGCGAUGCUCUGUUGCUAUUAUGGGAUUGAGCCCUCCAUGGUAGAUCGGAUAGCUCAUACGAGCGUGUACGAUCAUGUGGAACAUCGUCUUGCUUUGUUCUUCCUGGAGUGUCUCCCGCUUGAUCUCCUCUAUAUCCUCUUUACUCCCUUCCAUGUAUUGGCUUGAUUUCCUCCAUAUUUAGCCCAUUUCCUACGGAAAUAAACUAAAGAUCGGAAAUUUCGAAUCCUUUGCAUUGGUUAGUCAUUUGUAGUAAUAUCAGAGCGAAUAUCUUGGUUGUUAAGAAAUAUAUCAGUUUAUGCUCAUGUAUCAUGAGUGCAAGAACAACAGUUGUCAAUUACACCGAGCUUAGACUUGAUCAUCCUUGACCAACGUCGAGGAAAAUCCAAAACAUAAGGAACUCAGUUGUUUACACCAAAUAAGCGAUUAGGUUUUGCUUCACUUAUGAUCAACACACCUGGAUAACCCUACACUUCUUGACUUCUAAACUUAGUAUAGGUAUAGCGGUGACAUGGUUAUUAUGCAAGUGUUAGUGAAGCAAAGAUAAUCAACACAAAGCUCUUGCUCAACUAGACAAAAUAACAAAGUAACACUUGAUUCUAUUUUUGCUACUGAACACUUGCUUGCCGGGAAUGCACGAAGGUGAUUGCAUUUCUUGAGCAAUGAAAGCAUGUAUUAGGAAGUUAAAGUUAUGCAAAGACGACAUCAUUCUAGAGUAGCUCUAACUCACCCACAAGUGUCUCAUCAUCAAGGCUCUCACGAACUUUAUUUAAAUCAUUGCCUGCUGAACCUUUUGUUCUCUGGUGAUGGGAUGCCAGAGAAAGGAUCGAAAAUAAGGUUUUGUUGUGCUUUAAGUUUGAGUAAUAUGAACUAAUAUGUUGCUACUACAUACUGUAACAUACUCAUAUCCGAAAUCGGAGUCGAAACUCUAGUGGAUCGUUCAUUGUCCACUGGAGUUCUCAGCAUUACAUCAAGAAAAGGUGACAUUCACAUUUACAUGCCUACAUGUGCAUGGAGUAGUAAGACCAUUACACCAGCGUGAAGCUGAAGCGCCAUGUACAAAUAUAGCAAAGGUUUUUGGCAUAAUAUCAUUCACCUUACAACUAAUUUUCUUUGGAAAAUUUUAUCAACAAGGGCUAUAGAGUCUAUUAAAAUGGACACUAUGGGGUUAGGUAUCUCUAACAACAUCUUCUCUAAAAGUUUUUUCAACACCCAAGUCUUGUGAGACUUUCUGUUGUGCAUGGUUAUUCUUCGUUAACAUAUCACUUUAUUUUAAUAGCCUGAUUUUCAUGGAUUACUUCAGAAAGUUACAAAUACAUUUUUGUCUCAAAGUUUUGGAAAGUGGUUGCUCCGGUGCCCUGAGCCAUUCAAUGUUUGUAUUAUUACUAGCAAAAAUGCUCGUGCAUUGCACCGGGAGAGAAAAACACAUGCAUUUAGAUCCAUCACCGCCAAUCAUAAGUCGACUGCCCUCCGAAACAUGACAACUCUUAGAAAGCCGUUAUAUGGUGCACUGCUACCACGUACCAAGAUACAGUAAUAAACCCAUCUAAAAAAAUAUACAGUAGCAGCUGGAACCUCGUCACAUGAUGACAUGCGACACGAACAGACCAUGCAAUGCAACAAACAGGGGAGCCAUUAUGCAUUCAAAUAGCCUCAUAUACUCAAAUUAUUUUCCCUUUAUGUAGAAAGUCACUAUACAGUUGUCAUAGUAAAAGCAAAAGGGCAUAAAUAACCUCAUAUGAAACCAACGCCUAGCUAGCAAAUAUAAGACUUACAUGAUUUCGAAUUAUAUGACAAACUCAUCAUAUAUAGAAUCAAAGUUGAACUAUGAUAUAUAGUAGAUGAGCCCGAGCUGGGGCCAUGCAUGCACACACGAUUAAGAAUAUCAACUGCUGCUAACAUGAGGUCAGAACUAAUGGCCUCACAAAAGAUGAUUAGUUGAUCAGAACAUAGUUCUCUAGAAUAUUCACCUUUGAUAGUAGCUGCUGCAAGCGGAUUCAAUUGUACAUGCAUGGGUAGAUACUGCAUUGCAUCUGCGUUACACCUAACGAUCCUAAUUAAGGUUGCCACCACAGCCACAACCGCGUCUAGAUAUUAAAGGAGGCAUCAUCAGUGGAUUAAUUACUGAAAGGUUGCAUAAUGUCAUCCACGAAGGUGAAUACUCAUAGAACAAAAAACGUGUUACUUAAGAAACAAAGUAGAUGAAUUAGAACAUCGAUGGAUACCAUAUUACCACCUGCGUUGAGGUGAGCCAACCCGUUGACCCCGCCAUGGUCUCUAGAUGCAGCUGAUAGUCAUGGUCUGAAGCGACCCAGCCGUCGUCGACGGUGCGUAAAUCACUGAGGCCUCCGCCGACAACCCUUGUCUACCACCUCAUCGGCAGCGUGGGGGCUUGCAGCUGCGCCAGCUACACCGGGGUUGAGCUCGCAUGUCACUGCCGUCCCUGGACUGUGCACACCGCCUCUGCAAGCUAGUGCACCGAUGUUCCUAUCUGUCUGAGCUCGUGCGUAGGCGGACACAACCUAGCCAUGGGCAUGCACACUCUGCUUGGAGCCUAGCCCAACACCUACGUCAUGGCAUUAACCAUCGAUAAUCUUAUGAGCCUGAUAUUGACCAGAUCGAUAUGAGGAUUGAUGGAGACUCCGUCCAUGGCAACCAAUGGGACAAUUUGUGAACUCAGAUUGUGUUGCACAGUUAGGGGGUCCAUGACGGCACACUUCAUGGAGGCGAGGACGCAUGGGAGACAGAUGCAUGGCAUGCGAUUCUAUGAUCGUGAAUUCCGCAGGGAGUGUUGGCUAUUGGGGUGCGCAGGACGGCAACCACGACGGUGUCGGCGGCGGUUGCUGCUCGUGGUCAGGCAGGGAAGCAACACGGCAUCAGCGGUGACUGCUCGUGGUCGCGCAAGACGGCAACCACGACGGCGGCGGAGGCGGCUGUUCAUGCUCGCGCAGCGAAGCAACACGGCGUCGGCGGCGACUGCUCGAUGUCACGCAGGGAAGGAGCGCCUGGGACAGGGGGAACUCGAAUCUAAGAGAGGAGAGGAGACAGGUUAAUUAGCCCUGGCUGGUUUUCUCCCAAUUUAUGUAGCAGACUUUUUUUAGCGUGGCGUGCACCCGCGGAGGCUGGUUCCUGUUGUUUUUUUAUCUGACGGUGAUACACAUACUAAACUUAUCUUAUUUGGUGAUAGAUUCCUGAGCCGGAUAUAGACGCAUGGUGAGUUGCAACACUUCGACGGCUUAUAGGGAAAGAUUGAUUGUGGGUUAAUUCUCUAACGCUGUGUUUGGAUGUCUGUAUUGGGCUGUUGAAUUGGAUUUAGUAUUGGGCUAACCCCAAUACAGGUGUUCGGAUGCACUCUGAAACAACAGACUGAAACGGAAACGAAUAUGAGGCGUUUUCGCUCACACGCGCCCACCCGUCGCUACAAUUCGGAGGUCUGGACCUCCGAUUUCCGCCGAAUUGCCUCACGCCCGCAAAACAAAACGUUUUGGGCCUUUAUUUCCUCCCUCCACCAUGAGACAGAAGGGAUCGAGGGAAGAGAGUGGCGCCCUCGCAGAUCGACGGCGGCGCUCAGUUAGAUGCACCAUGGCGGCGUGGUUAUGGUGGCCGCCCUUCCAUUCCCUUCUUCCUCCGCCGCCACCCCUUCCCCUCCCCCGGCGCCACCCCUUCCCGUUCUCUCUUGCCCUGCCCGCCGUGGCCAGAUCCCAUCUGAACCGCCGACGGCUGCAGUCCCCUCCGGCGCCGGCCUUCCCUUCCUUCCUGGCCCUGCGGUGGCCAUCUCUUCUCCCUUCAGCGCUGGCCCUCCCCCUCCUUCCCAUCGGAGCCCAUCUCUUCUCCCUGGGCCCUCCUCAGCAGCCCCUUCUUCUCUAGCCGUGGUGGCCCUCUGUGCCGCCGGAGCCUUCUUCCCUUGCUCCACCCAGCCCCUGCUCUAAUUCUUCUUCUUCAAUCCCCUUGUCAUGUUGUUCUGAUUCAUUUGCUACCCGCUGAUGUAUUUGCAGGUUGGCCUAAAAAUUGGAAUCCCUCUUGUAUGAAUAUGAUGCAAUUUUGUGAACCAAUAUAUGGUCUGAUCUCUGAUGCAUGCUUAUGUGUGAUAUGGGGAUAUGAUACAUGCUUAUGUGUGAUAUUGGGAUAUGAUGCAUGCUUAUGUGAUCUGAUGCAUGCUUAUGUGUGAUGUUCCCGUUUGUAUUGUUGAACUUGGACCUAUCUAAACUAUUUUUUUGUUACAUUUGGAACAAUGUAUUGUUCAACUACAACUUAUUUGAACAAUUGUAUUGUUAAAUUUGAAACUAUCUCUUCUUGUCGUUGAGAAUUUGGAACACCUAUUUAAGCUAUAGGUGUUGUACUUUGUUGGUGUAAAAUAUUUUUUUUGUUUUUGCGUCAAUAUUAUAUGAUGUCGUCCUCGAUUUCUAGAAUAUAUGAUUAAAAAUGCUAUAUAAUCAUCCAAUUAUAGUCACACGAUAUAUAACUUCUGUUUUUUAUGCAUAUACUAAUGUUGCUAUCAAUUCCAUGGUUUGACAUCCAAACAUGGUUCCGUAUUGAAACCUCGGAACAAUUCCGUGAGCUAAUACAAUAAACAUCCAAACAAGCGAAUUCGUAUUCAUGUCCAUUACAAUUUCCUGGCUGAAUUGGAAUUGAAACCAAUACAAUACGGAGGCUUCCAAUACAGACAUCCAAACGCAGCGUAAGACAAUAGGGACUUUUUUGCAAAAAUGUCACGACGGUGAACCCGGAGACUCAAUUCGUGUUUUAUUAUUAGGGAGAGAUAUGAAAUUUAAUGUGCAUGGAAACGACCUCUAAAAUGUAACUUUGGCCCAUAAUAUUUUUGUUAUGUAAGGAUACAAGUCAAUAUGGCAAUUAGAUUAUACCAAAACUAGGAAGAAACCAUUAAUACGAAAAAUGAUAAAGGGGCAAGAAUCAUUGUGCAUUCGCUCCUCUUUAUAAACACCGGUGCUAGAAAUAUACGUUCAGAGAAGGAAAACAUCAAGAGAAAAUAAACACCGAUGCUGGAAAGAUACGUUCAGAGAAGGACAACAUCAAGAGAAAAUAAGUAAUAGCAAGGCAGUCUUGAUGAUGGCACUUAUCAAGAACAAGACACGCAUUCUCUUUUGUGUUGCUCUUUUGUUGACGUGUACCACUUUUCUGUGUGGCCUAGCGGCAGCGGGGAGGGACGUAGGUAAUUUCCAAAUUAGUUUCCUAGAUGAGUUUCUUGAUAUAAAACAGACCCAAAUGAUUAUGUAUCAUUCUUUCCAUACAUAUUAAUUUGUAUGUUGUGGUGCUUCCUUCAUUGUGUUUAGGUACCAAGGCUGCAUUUGGAAUCCAAUGUUUUACUUACUCAGUGUGCAUGGACUCAUAUCAGUAUGCCGUUCAUUAUUGCAACAAGGAGUGCAAAAUACUUGGUUAUGACGGCCAGAAAGGCUACUGCAAGAACGAGAAUCGUGGUGUGUGUCCAGAAGACCGGACAUUAUGCCAAGGAAUGUCCUGAAGCCCAAAAUGGAAAUGGCAAUGGAAGCUCUGGGAAGAAGCCGAACGCUUUCAAUAGGGGACAGGUGAACCACGUAAAUGUGGAGGAAGUUGAAGCCCAGCCCGAUGUAGUAAUAGGUAAGUUUUUGGUUAAGUCAUUUACUGCACUCGUUCUUUUUGAUACUGGUGCAUCCCAUUCAUACAUAUCAAGGGGAUUUGUGGAUAAGUAUAAAAUGCCAACCCAAGCCCUUAGGUCAUCCAUGUUAGUAACCUCGCCUAGAACAGAGUAUAUGGCUAGUCUAUGGUGUGAUCGGUUACCAUUAAGGAUUGGUAACUAUGUUUUUCCCUCGGACCUAAUAGUAUUGGAAUCUCAAGGAUUGGAUGUGAUAUUAGGCAUGCAUUGGUUAUCGAAGUAUGAAGGGAACAUUGAAUGUGACAGUAAGGCAAUUUUGUUUACCACCCCAGAAGGAAGAAGGAUCAAGUAUGUAUCCCGGCAUGUGCCGAAAAGGACUCAAGUAAAUUGCCUAACAGGAGUUGUGCAAGAGGAAGUACCAGUAGUGAAGGAUUUCCCUGAUGUUUUUCCAGAAGAGUUGCCAGGCAUGCCACCGGAUAGAGAUAUUGAGUUUUUGAUUGAGCUUUUGCCAGGCAUAGGGCCAAUAUCUAAGAGACCAUAUAGGAUGCCCGCAAAGAAUUUGGUGGAGAUUAAGAAGCAGAUUAAGGAGUUACUGGAUAAAGGUUAUAUUCGCCCAAGUUCUUCACCUUGGGGAUCGCCAGUACUUCUAGUGGAGAAGAAGCAUGGAUCGUGAAGGAUGGUCGUUGAUUAUCGAGGAUUGAAUGAAGUAACCAUCAAGAAAAAGUACCCACUACCGAAGAUCAAUGAUUUGUUUGAUCGGUUGCAAGGAGCUAAGGUAUUUUCCAAGAUCGACCUGCGAUCAGGAUACCAUCAGUUGAAGAUUCAAGAACAGGAUAUUCCUAAAGCGACUUUUACCACCAGGUAUGGGCUAUACGAGUAUACCAUUAUGUCAUUUGGUCUGACUAACGCACCUGCAUAUUUUAUGAACAUGAUGAACAAAGUGUUUAUGGAGUUUUUUGAUAAGUUCGUCAUAGUGUUCAUUGAUGAUAUCCUGGUUUACUCGAAGAAUGAAGAGGAGCAUAAGGAGCAUUUGCGUUUGGUACUUGGUAAGCUCAAAGAACAUCAGUUAUAUGCCAAGUUUAGCAAAUGUGAGUUUUGGUUGAAGGAAGUUGGAUUUCUCGGACAUGUUAUAUCUGGAGAAGGUAUAGCAGUGGAUCCCACCAAGGUUGACACUGUGACAAAUUGGGAAGCUCCAACAACAGUUGGAGAGAUCCGGAGUUUUCUUGGACAUGGAGGAUACUAUCGGAGAUUUAUUGAAAAUUUCUCUCAGAUUGCAAAACCUAUAACGGAGUUGCUGAAGAAGGAUACCAAGUUCAUAUGGACUGAGGAAUGUGAGGCUAGUUUCCAGGAGUUGAAGAAACGUUUGGUUACAUCACCAGUGUUGAUUUUGCCAGAUCAGACCAAGGAUUAUGAGGUGUAUUGCGACGCUUCACGUCGAGGACAUGGAGCAGUGCUUAUACAGGAAGGAAGAGUUGUCUCAUAUGCCUCACGACAUCUCAAGCCUCAUGAGUUGAAUUAUGCUAUGCAUGAUUUGGAGUUAGCAGCCGUAGUGCAUGCAUUGAAGACUUGGAGAUAUCUUCUCAUUGGAAACCAUUGUGAGGUGUACACGGACCACAAGAGUUUGAAGUACAUUUUCACGCAGAAGGAGUUGAAUCUCAGACAAAGGAGAUGGUUGGAACUCAUCAAGGAUUAUGAUAUGAGAUUGCAUUAUCACCCUGGAAAGGCUAACGUAGUAUCUGACGCGUUGAGCCGUAAAAUUCAUGUCAACACCUUAAUGACAUGAGAUUUACCAAGGGAGUUAGCUGAAAAUCAUCGUGAGCUAUGUUUGGAAAUAGUUCCGAGAGGCUAUGUAGCAGCAUUGGAGAUUCAGUCUACGUUGAUGGAUAAGAUCAGAGAAGCCCAGAAGACUGACAAGGAGAUUGCCUCUAUUAAGGAGAAAAUGAGCAAAGGAAAAGAUAAAGGAUUUCGUGAUGAUGAGCACGAUACCUUAUGGUUUGAAGACCGUGUUUCACCUAGGGAAUACCAAGAUGUAUUUGGAUUUGAGGAUAUUUUCUGGUGGACCGGAAUGAAGAAGUAUAUUGCGGAGCAUGUAGCAGUUUGUGAUGUAUGUCAGAGAGUAAAGGCGGAACAUCAAAAGCCAACAGGAUUGCUACAACCAUUGCCGAUACCCGAAUGGAAGUGGGAUAAGUUAGGCAUGGAUUUUAUCACCGGAUUGCCCAGAAAUCGUUCAGGCUAUGACUCGAUAUGGGUUGUAGUCGACCGUUUGACAAAGGUAGCUCUUUCAUCCUAGUGAAGACUACCUAUACCAGUGCAAAGUUGGCAAAGAUAUAAAUGACCAGAAUCGUAUGUCUGCAUGGAGUUCCAAGGAGCAUUGUAUAAGAUAGAGGAACCCAGUUUACCUCAAAGUUCUGGAAUCAGUUGCAUGAAACCCUGGGUACCAGGCUAGAAUUCAAUACAACUUUCCAUCCGCAGAUAGAUGGACAGACCGAGAGAGUCAAUCAGAUUUUGGAGGAUAUGCUGAGAGCUUGUGCGCUAGAUUACGGAUCUAGUUGGGACGAGAAUUUGUCAUACGCAGAGUUCUCCUAUAACAACAGUUAUCAAUCCAGUUUGAAGAUGGCCCCUUUCGAAGCUCUGUACGGAAGGAGGUGCAGGACCCCAUUGUCGUGGGAUGAAGUUGGAGACCGCUAGUUGUUUGGACUGGAUCUGAUUAAGGAGUCUGAACAGAAAGUAAAAUUGAUUCAUGAUAGAAUCAAGGUAGCCCAGUCUAGGCAGAAGAGCUACGCACACUCAAAACGCAAGGAAACAGUUUACGAAGUCGGAGACCGAGUUUAUCUUCGAGUAUCUCCACUUCGAGGAGUUAAGUGCUUUGGAGUUAAGGGAAAGUUAGCGCCCCAUUUUGCAGGACCAUACAAGGUUUUGGAACGUAUGGGAGAAGUAGCUUAUAUGUUGGAAUUGCCCGAAGGAUUGUCAGGAAUUCAUGACGUGUUCCACGUUUCCUAGUUGAAGAAGUGCCACACAGAGAUGGCUGACAUACCGCUGAGAGACACAGUGCCGCUGGAAGCGGUUCAGUUGGACAGUGAUUUGACUAGUGGGGAUACUCGAGUAUCUUAACUUUGCUGAGGAGAAACCAGUCAAGAUUCUUGAGUAUGCCAGCCGAGUCACCCGCAGCAAAGUUAUCAAGUUUUGCAAAGUUCAGUGGAGCCACCACACGGAAGAUGAAGCUACCUAGGAACGAGAGGAAGAACUGUUGAAAGACCUCCCUCACCUAUUUUCUAGCUAACCCGAAUCUCAAGGGCGAGAUUCAUCUUAAGGGGGGUAGGUUUGUAACAUCCCAAAUUUUCAAUUUGGAAUGUUAUACAAUAGAUCAUCAUUGCAUAUCAUAUUUUAUCGCAUUUGGUUGAUCCUAGAAAUUUCACGCAACUCAAGGACCCUCGGAGAGAGUUGGGUAUUUCAUUAUUUUCAUAUUUGAGUUUUCUCAAAUUUUGAAAAUAGGAUAAUUUGAUUUUAUUUAUUUUAUCUUCAAUUAUUUCUACUAUAAAAAAAUUAUGAGAGUGGGAAUAAAAUGACUUUCCCAAAAUAUAGAAAUAUUGGGGAUUUAAUAAAAAAAUCAAAUCAGAUUUUAUUUUGCUUUUAUUUGCUAUUUUAUUUGAAUUUAGGAAAAAUUGCACGUUUUCAAAAAUUGCAUUUAGGGCCAAGAAAAUGUUCAUCCUGUUCUAAAUAUUUUAUUUAGAGGGUAAAAAUUUGUUUUGGCAUUUUUAGAAGUUUAUUUAUUUUUCUAGAAUUUUUUUUAGUCGCAGCAAAAUUGUUUAAAAAAAGAGACCCCGUGCCCAACUUGGCCAAGGGCCCAGCCGAGCAGGCCGGCCCUGCCAGCCGUAGCCGCCUCCCGCCGAGUCGGGACAGGAGGCCCGACCGCCGCCAUCGGCCGAGUCUGGGGAGGACCCGCCUCCAGGCCGACCCCUUCCCCAAGUCGCCGCCCCCCCUUUAUAACCCCGCCGCCGCCCGCCUGCAGCCCCACACCCGCGCCGUAGCCGCCACCCCGGCGCCGCGUCAGAGCUACCGCCCCGCACCACCCGCCGCCCGCCGGAGCCCCGAGUCGAGGUAGCCGCUGCCCCGGUUUUUUUUGGAAAAAGCCGUUUCGGUUUUUUUUUGAAAACCCUAGUUUUUGUUUUUUUAAUAGAUCGGCUUUUCUCUGGUUUAUCUUUUUAGCGAGCGUUCGCUCGUACGUUCGUUUUAAUGAACGCGUUCUUCGUUUAGUUCCUGUUAACGAACGUCCGUUCUAUAACCUGUUCGUCGUUUUUCUUUUUCUCGGAUUAAAUCCGCGAUUUUCUGAUCGCGAUUUCUGAUCCGAUGUUUGUUUUAGUUUAGGUUUUUGCUCGUUUGUCAGAAUCAGGCGAUUCAAGCACCUGGAGUUUCGUCUCGAAGCCCUCUUUCCGUUUAACCAACUCAAACAAGUUUUUUCCUCAGUAAAAUUUGACCUAGAUUCAAAAUAGUAAACAAAGCCUGUUUCUUUUGCCGUUUGUCUUUCGUUGCUUCAUUCGAUUUGAUUCUUUUUGCCGACCGGAGUUCUUAAAUUGAACUAUCUGGUUAGAUCUCUUAUUCGAGUUUUACUUGUGCAUUAGAUGAGUACUUAUUGUAUGCUUGUUUGUUUGCGAUGGAUUACCCGGAGUGCGCCGCUUGUUACUUCGAAUCGCUAGGUUUUGCGGAUCAUCAGCAAAGCAAGUAACACUUUGAUCAUACCUUCCUACUACCCAGUUUUAUUGCAUUAGAUCAAUCCUCACACAUUGCAUUGACUAGGAUCUAAUUAAAUUGUGUGUUUGGGAAGUAGAUGAGGUAGUACAUAUUACCUGUUAUUAUCAAACCUUUGGGAGUUACUUCUACGUUUGCUUAUUUUGCCAUGCUAUGCCAGUAGACGUGGUUUGGGUGAGUGAAAUCCAUGACAGAUGUGAGUUUGUUAAAUUAAGGGUUUAUCUAAGGUGGCAACUUAAAUACACAUCUGGGUGGAUUGAGGCACCUGGGUAUUCCAGCGAUUGCUUGUUUUUCUUUGGACCGCCACCCAGGCUCAAAGGGAUCAUGAGAUUAUUCAUGCUAGAAACUUCCGUGUGCAGCCACAAGCUACUAUGGGCUCUAGCAUAGUUGACUAAGUCGUGCGAACUCUUACAGUGGUAGACUAGAAGAUGUAGGGGAUGUAGGUUGUACGGUCUACCCAUCGUAAGGUGCUAGCGCUUCUAAAAGACUAUGUCUUGGUCAUCCGCUUCUCAAACACCAUGCAGUGCGAGAAAACCAAUGGAGGAGAUCGAGUCUUGUGGGGAAAAGUGCGCAAACCUCUGCAGAGUGUAUAAACUAAUCAUGGUUAGCCGUGUCCUCGGUUAUGGACAUCCUGAGUAUCUAGUACUUGGAUUAUCAUGUGAAUCUCAUCAUGCUACUCUAAUUAAUUUGUUGGUUCUUAAUGAUGAUGCUUAAUUCGGAUUAAGAAUGUUGUCAACCAUUCGCAAUGUUUAACAACUACCAUGAUAGUUAAAUAAAAUUUAUUUCUUUGCAGUAGGGAAAAAUUGGCUUUACGCAAAACUGUAACCAUAGAGCUUUCCACCAGCCAAAUAUGCAUAUAGUAUAGCCUAUUUUCUUUCUUUGCUCUCUAUGUGUUACAUUGCCAGCAUAUUCCAUGUGCUGACCCAUUUCGGGCCGCAACGUUCAUGUUCCAGACUUUUUAGACGACGAGUAAGGUGCUUUUAGGUCAUGGUUCUAUACUCAGUGAUGCCGUUGGAGUUGAUCGACUCACUUAUCUUUCAAGCCUUCCACUGUUAUCGUUAUAUUAGAUGACCUUAAGCCAUUAUUAUUGUAAUAAGUUCUCUUUUGAGACUCUCGAUGUAAUAAGUGUGUGAUUGCUACUCUGUUAUAAAUCCUUCAAGUAAUGUGUGGUGUCAGCAUUACUGAUCCAGGGAUGACAUAUGAGCACAGAGAUUGGACCGUUUGAGGUUUGAUCGCUACAAUUACACCAGCGUGAAGCUGAAGCGCCAUGUACGAAUAUUGCAAAGGUUUUUGGCAUAAUAUCAUUCACCUUACAACUAAGUUUCUUUGGAAAAUUUUAUCCACAAGGGCUAUAGAGUCUAUUGAAAUUGACACUAUGGGGUUAGGUAUCUCUAACAACAUUUUCUCUAAAAGUAUUUUCAACACCCAAGUCUUGUGAGACUUAAUGUUGUGCAUGGUUAUUCUUUGUUAACAUAUCACUUUAUUUUAAUAGCCUGAUUUUCAUGGAUUACUUCAGAAAGUUACAAAUACAUAUUUUUUUCUCUAAGUUUUGGAAAGUGGUUACUCCGGUGCCCUGAGCCAUUCAAUGUUCGUAUUAUUAUAUGAAAUUUAAUGUGCAUGGAAACGACCUCUAAAAUGCAACUUUGGCCCAUAAUAUUUUUGGUAUGUAAGGAUACAAGUCAAGGUGGCAAUUAGAUUGUACCAAAACUAGGAAGAAACCAUUAAUACGAAAAAUGAUAAAGGGGCAAGAAUCAUUGUUCAUUCGCUCUUCUUUAUAAACACCAGUGCUAGAAAUAUACGUUCAGAGAAGCACAUCAUUAAGAGAAAAUAAGUAAUAGCAAGGCAGUCUUGAUGAUGGUACUUAUCAACAACAAGACACGCAUUCUCUUUUGUGUUGCUCUUUUGUUGACGUGUACCACUUUUCUGUGUGGCCUAGCGGCAGCGGGGAGGGACGUAGCUAAUUUCCAAAUUAGUUUCCUAGAUGAGUUUCUUUAUACAAAACUGAUCCAAAUGAUUAUGUAUCAUUGUUUCCAUACAUAUUAAUUUAUAUGUUGUGGUGCUUCCUUCAUUGUGUUUAGGUACCAAGGCUGCAUUUGGAAUCCAAUGUUUUACUUACUUAGUGUGCAUGGACUCAUAUGAGUAUGCCGUUGAUUACUGCAACAAGAAGUGCAAAAUACUUGGUUAUGACGGCCAGAAAGGCUACUGAAAGAAGGAGAAUCGUGGCGUGUGUUGUUGUGCCUAAAGUUAAAGACAUGUUAUAUUGUCAUUUUGCAGAAAAUCAUUGCAUGUAUUUGCUUCUCAGAAUACUAAUUUAUAUGGAUUAUACGAUAAUUUCAAUAACAUAUACUGGUAGUUGCUUUCGAAGACCAACUUGACUAGACGAUCAACUCUUCAGGUCAUAUGAAUCAACAAUGAGCCAGCUAAAAACUGGAAGUACUGAUAACUUAAAAAAUUAAAUUGGGGAGUGAAUUAAUGGAAAUAUAUGAGAAAUACAUUGGGUAUAUGAAAAUUUGUCAUUCAACGAUGCUAGUUAAUACCAACUGAUGGAUGUACAACUCAAAAAAAAGUCCAUAUUUGAUCCCUGAACUAUCACAAAUGUCUAAAAACCAACCCCAAACUUUGAAAAAAUCUAUCUUGCAAUUCUAAAUUGUCAAAGUCGAUCAACUUUCAACUUUUCCUCUCCUCAAACCGGUAUUUGGUGCGUUGAAGUGGUUUGGAACAAUUGAUCUCCUAGUCGGCUGCCAUGUCACUUAAUAUUUUUCCUGAAUAUGUAUUUUAUUGCAUGUUGUAAUAUGUUUGGCGGCAUCGCCGUAUAGUUGAGAAAUAACCAUAUAAUAGCAAUGGGCAUAUAACGGCUACAACUCUUAUAUCCGAAAGAUAUAGGAUCCGGGCUACCAUACUAAACUUUUCUGUCACUAGUGAUCAGAAUAGUACUUCAUGGUCUACCUGCCGUUAGCCUCUCUCUGACUCACUCGAUGUGAUCCUAGGUACCUACAAGGACGAAGAAUGUAGAUGAGACAAGAGACAUCCAUGAAGCAAUUUUAUGUUACACAUACGGGACAAAUUCAAAGUACUUCUAUAUAUCCCUCCAAUAAAUACAUAGGGUUGUAGGGCUAUGCCUCAACCCAUGAUGAUACCUUAGAUAUGGAGAACAGAUCACAAGUACAAUCCAUCAAACAACACAUCAUGAAUAUUGAUUUAUAAUAUGUCUUACAAUAAUUGCCGGAUGUGAUAGACGAUUACAAAGUAUGGCUAGUUGGAUUAGUGCUUGGUGGGUGGAGAUGGUGGCGGCUAUGGAAAUGAGAUGGGAAAUGGCGGUGGCUAGGGUUAAUUUGGACGAUGAAGAUUGAGGUCUGGGCGAUGCUCUGUUGCUAUUAUGGGAUUGAGCCCUUCAUGGUAGAUCGGAUAGCUCAUACGAGCGUGUACGAUCGUGUGGAACAUCGUCUUGCUUUGUUCUUCCGGGAGUGUCUCCCGCUUGAUCUCCUCUAUAUCGUCUUUACUCCCUUCCAUGUAUUGGCUUGAUUUCCUCCAUAUUUAGCCCAUUUCCUACAGAAAUAAACUAAAGAUUGGACAUUUCGAAUCCUUUGCAUUGGUUAGUCGUUUGUAGUAAUAUCAGAGCGAAUAUCUUGGUUUUUAAGAAAUAUAUUGGUUUAUGCUCAUGUAUCUUGAGUGCAAGAACAACAAUCGUCAACUCCAUCAAGCUUAGACUUGAUCAUCCUCGACCAACAUAGAGGCAAAUCCAAAACGUAAGGAACUCAGUUGUUUACACCAAAUAAAUGAGUAGGUUUUGCUUCACUUAUGAUCAGUGCACCUAGAUAACCCUACACUUCUUGACUUCUAAACUUAGUAUAGGUAUAGCGGUGACAUGGUUAUUAUGCAAGUCUUAUUGAAGCAAAGAUAAUCAACACAAAGCUCUUGCUCAACUAGACAAAAUAACAAAGUAACACUUGAUUCUAUUUUUUCUACUGAACACUUGCUUGCCAGGAAUGCACGAAGGUGAUUGCAUUUCUGGAGCAAUGAAAGCAUGUAUUAGGGAGUUAAAGUUAUGCAAAGACACAUCAUUCUAGAGUAGCUCUAACUCACCCACAAGUGUCUCAUCAUCAAGGCUCUCAUGAACUUUAUUUAAAUUAUUGCCUGCUGAAUCUUUUGUUGUCUGGUGAUGGGAUGCCAAAGAAAGGAUCAAAAAUAAGGUUUUGUUGUGCUUUAAGUUUGAGUAAUAUGAACUAAUAUGUUGCUACUACGUACCGUAACAUACUCAUAUCCGAAAUUGGAGUCGAAAUUCUAGUGGGUCGUUCAUUGUCCAGUGGAGUACUCAGCAUUACAUCAAGAAAGGUGACAUUCACAUUUACAUGCCUACACGUGCAUGGAGUAGUAAGACCAUUACACCAGCAUGAAGCUGAAGCGCCAUGUACAAAUAUAGAAAAGGUUUUUGGCAUAAUAUCAUUCACCUCACAACUAAUUUUCUUUGGAAAAUUUUAUCCACAAGGGCUAUAGAGUCUAUUAAAAUGGACACUAUGGGGUUAGGUAUCUCUGACAACAUCUUCUCUAAAAGUUUUUUCAACACCCAAGUCUUGUGAGACUUUCUGUUGUGCAUGGCUAUUCUUCGUUAACAUAUCACUUUAUUUUAACAGCCUAAUUUUCAUGGAUUACUUCAGAAAGUUACAAAUACAUUUUUCUCUCUAAGUUUUGGAAAGUGGUUGCUCCGGUGCCCUGAGCCAUUCAAUGUUUGUAUUAUUACUAGCAAAAAUGCCCGCGCAUUGCACCGGGAGAGAAAAACACAUGCAUUUAGAUCCAUCACCGCCAAUCAUAAGUUGACUGCCCUCCGAAACAUGACAACUCUUAGAAAGCCAUUAUAUGGUGCACGGCUACCACGAACCAAGAUACAGUAACAACCCAUCUAAAAAAUAUACAGUAGCAACUGGAACCUCAUCACAUGAUCACAUACGAUGCGAACAGACCAUGCAAUGCAACAAACAGGGGAGCCAUUUGCAUUCAAAUAGCCUCAUAUACUCAAAUAAUUUUCCCUUUAUGUAGAAAGUCACUAUACAGUUGUCAUAGUAAAAGCAAAAGGGAAUAAAUAACCUGAUAUGAAACCAACGCCUAGCUAGCAAAUAUAAGACUUACAUGAUUUCGAAUUAUAUGACAAACUCAUCAUAUAUAGAAUCAAAGUUGAACUAUGAUAUAUAGUAGAUGAGCCCGAGAUGGGGCCAUGCAUGCACACACGAUUAAGAAUAUCAACUUCUGCUAACAUGAGGUCAGAACUAAUGGCCUCACAAAAGAUGAUUAGUUGAUCAGAACAUAGUUCUCCAAAAUAUUCACCUUUGAAAGUAGCUGCUGCAACCGGAUUCGAUUGUCCAUGCAUGGGUAGAUAAUCUUAUGAGCCUGAUAUUGACCAGAUCGAUAUGAGGAUUGAUGGAGACUUCGUCCAUGGCAACCAAUGGGACAAUUUGUGAAAUCAGAUUGUGUUGCAUAGUCAGGGGGUCCGUGAUGGCGCACUUCAUGGAGGCGAGGACGCAUGGGAGACAGAUGCAUGGCAUGUGACUCUAUGAUUGUGAAUUCUGCAGGGAGUGUUGGCUAUUGGGGUGCGCAGGACGGCAACCACGACGGUGUCAGCUGCGGCUGCUGCUCGUGGUCAGGGAGGGAAGCAACACGGCAUCGGCGGCGACUGCUCGUGGUCGCGCAAGACGGCAACCACGACGGCGGCGGCGGCGGCUGUUCGUGCUCGCGCAGCGAAGCAACAUGGCGUCGGUGGCGACUGCUCGAGGUAACGCAGGGAAGGAGCGCCUGGGACAGGGGGAACUCGAAUCUAUGAGAGGAGAGGAGAUGGGUUAAUUAGCCUUGGCUGGUUUUCUCCCGAUUUAUGUAGCUGACUUUUUUUAGCAUGGCGUGCGCCUGUGGAGGCUGGUUCCUGUUGUUUUUUUAUCUGACGGUGAUACACAUAGUAAACUUAUCUUAUUUGGUGACUGAUUCCUGAGCCGGAUAUAGACGCAUGGUGAGUUGCAACACUUCGACGGCUUAUAGGGAAAGAUUGAUUGUGGGUUAAUUCUCUAAGAUAAUAGGGACUUUUUUGCAAAAAUGUCACGACGGUGAACCCGGAUACUCAAUCCGUGCUUUAUUAUUAGGGAGAGAUAUGAAAUUUAAUGUGCAUGGAAACGACCUCUAAAAUGUAACGUUGGCCCAUAAUAUUUUUGUUAUGUAAGGAUACAAGUCAAUAUGGCCAUUAGAUUAUACCAAAACUAGGAAGAAACCAUUAAUACGAAAAAUGAUAAAGGGGCAAGAAUCAUUGUGCAUUCGCUCCUCUUUAUAAAUACUGGUGCUAGAAAGAUACAUUCAGAGAAGGACAACUUCAAGAGAAAAUAAACACCGGUGCUGGAAAGAUACGUUCAGAGAAGGACAACAUCAAGAGAAAAUAAGUAAUAGCAAGGCAGUCUUGAUGAUGGCACUUAUCAAGAACAAGGCACGCAUUCUAUUUUGUGUUGCUCUUUUGUUGACGUGUACCACUUUUCUGUGUGGCCUAGCGGCAGCGGGGAGGGAUGUAGGUAAUUUCCAAAUUAGUUUCCUAGAUGAGUUUCUUGAUAUAAAACAGACCCAAAUGAUUAUGUAUCAUUCUUUCCAUACAUAUUAAUUUGUAUGUUGUGGUGCUUCCUUCAUUGUGUUUAGGUACCAAGGCUGCAUUUGGAAUCCAAUGUUUUACUUACUCAGUGUGCAUGGACUCAUAUCAGUAUGCCGUUGAUUACUGCAACAAGGAGUGCAAAAUACUUGGUUAUGACGGCCAGAAAGGCUACUGCAAGAUGGAGAAUCAUGGCGUGUGUUGUUGUGCCUAAAGUUAAAGACAUGUUAUAUUGUCAUUUUGUAGAAAAUCAUUGCAUGUAUUUGCUUGUCAGAAUACUAAUUUAUAUGGAUUAUACGAGAAUUUCAAUAACAUACACUGGUAGUUGCUUGCGAAGACCAACUUCUCUAGCCGAUCAACUCUUCAGGUCGUAUGAAUCAACAAUGAGCCAAAUAAAAAGUGGAAGUACUGAUAACUUAAAAUUUUAAAUUAGGGAGUGAAUUAAUGGAAAUAUAUGAGAAAUACAUUGGGUAUAUGAAAAUUUGUCAUUCAACGAUGCUAGUUAAUACCAACUGAUGGAUGUACAACUCAAAAAAAGUCCAUAUUUGAACCCUGGACUAUCACAAAUGUCUAAGAACCAACCCCAACCUUUGAAACAAUCUAUCUUGCAAUUCUAUAUUGUCAAAGUCGAUCAACUCUCAACUUUUCCCCUCCUCAAACCGGUAUUUGGUGCAUUGAAGUGGUUUGGAACAAUUGAUCGCCUAGUCGGCUGCCAUGUCACUUAAUAUUUUUCUGAAUAUGUAUUUUAUUGCAUGUUGUAAUCUGUUUGGCGGGAUCGACCCUAUAGUUGAGAAAUAAUCCGAUAAUUUCAAUGGGCAUUUAAUGGCUACAACUCUUAUAUCCCAAAGAUAUAGGAUCCGGGCUACCGUACUAAACUUUUCUGUCACUAGUGUUUAGAAUAGCACUUCAUGGUCUACCUGCUGUUAGCCUCUCUCUGACUCACUCUCUAUGAUCCUAGGUACCUGCAAGGACAAAGAAUGUAGAUGAGAUAAGAGACAUCCAUGAAGCAAUUUUAUGUUACACAUACGGGACAAAUUCAAAGUACUUUCAUAAAUCCCUCCAAUAAAUACAUAGGGUUGUAGGGCUAUGCCUCAACGCAUGACGAUACCUUAGAUAUGGAGAACAGAUCACAAGUACAAUCCAUCAAAGAACACAUCAUGAAUAUUGAUUAAUAAUAUGUCUUACAAUAAUUGUCGGAUGUGAUAUAUGAUUACAAAGUAUGGCUAGUUGGAUGAGUGCUUGGUGGGUGGAGAUGGUGGUUGUCGGUGUCAAAACCGGCGGAUCUUGGGUAUGGGGUCCCGAACUGUGCGUCUAGGCCAGAUGGUAAUAGGAGGCAGGGAACACGAUGUUUUACCCAGGUUUGGGCCCUCCUGAUGGCGGUAAAACCCUACGUACUUCUUGAUUAAUAUUGUUGAUAUGGGUAGUACAAGAGUAGAUCUACCACGAGAUCAGAGAGGCUAAACCCUAGAAGCUAGCCUAUGGUAUGAUUGUAUGUUGUGGUUGUUGUCCUAUGGACUAAGACCCUUCGGUUUAUAUAGACACCGGAGAGGGUUAGGGUUACACAAGGUCGGUUACAAAGGAGGAGAUAUCCAUAUCCGUACUGCCUAGCUUGCCUUCCACGCUAAGUAGAGUCCCAUCCGGACACGAGACGAAGUCUUCAAUCUUGUAUCUUCAUAGUCUAACAGUCCGGCCAAUGGAUAUAGUCCGGCUGUCCAGAGACCCCCUAAUCCAGGACUCCCUCAGUAGCCCCUGAACCAGGCUUCAAUGACGAUGAGUCCGGCAUGCAGUGUUGUCUUCGGCAUUGCAAGGCGGGUUCCUUCUCCGAAUACAUCAUAGAAGAAUUUGAAUACGAGGACAGUGUCCGACCUUGAAAAAUUAGUUCCACAUUCCACCGUAGAGAGAAUAAUAUUUUCGCAGAUCUAAUUUGCUGGCUUGUUUUGGCAGCAUGACGUUACAUCAUGGCCCAGUGAUUAUUCGAACUGUUUCUUUUAACCAGCCCCGCGCAUAAUGCGAGGCAGUUUUUUGACACGUCUUGUCAAAGCAGAGAUUGUGUCCCCUUAUUACGGGAUUCUCAUCAAUACAGGCGUGGGUAACCCAACCACACCAUCAAUUGCGGUGCUUGGGGGAUAAGCGAGUUUUACCAGGCAAGUGGGGAAGCUUAGUUUCGUCCGCCCAUAUAAAGGGAUAAGGAUUCACCUUUCUAUCCACGCCUUCUUCCUCCCUUACCCAUCCGUUUUCGCACACUCGAGCUCUAGUGCCCAAGUCCGCACUUCCCACCUCGACCUUCUCCAAUCAUGUCCGGAGCGGGAGGUAAGUGGAUGGUAUCCUCCGUCAUGGAGGGAGACAUCAAGAAACUGAGGAGGGCCAUAUACCAGCCCGACGACAUCGCGCACCGGCUCCCUGAUGAGGGGCAGCUCAUCCCCACCCCCAGGCCCCAUGAGAGGGUGGUAUUCCUCACCCAUUUCCUCCGCGGACUGGGUGUCCCUCUCCAUCCCUUCAUCCGGGGGCUGAUGUUUUAUUAUGGCCUGGAUUUCCACGAUCUAGCCUGGAACUUCAUCCUCAACAUCUCGGCGUUUAUCGUCGUGUGCGAGGCCUUCCUCCACAUCAAGCCCCACUUCAGCUUAUGGCUGAAGACCUUCAAUGUGAAGCCGAAGGUGGUGGGUGGCCGCCAGGCGGAGUGCGGAGGCGCCAUGGUGGGUAAGAUGCCAAACAUAACAUGGCUCGAAGGCUCCUUUGUGGAAACCAUAAAGGGGUGGCAAUCAGGGUGGUUCUAUAUCACCGAGCCGCAUGAGCCCACAUGGGUAGCGGCCCCCGAGUUCCGAUCUGGCAUCCCCAUGCGACUCACCUCCUGGAAAGAGAAGGGCCUGUCCUGGGGUAGUUCAAAAGAGCUGACCGGACUCCAAACAUGUAUUCAAAACAUGGUGGACAAGAAGCUCAAGCUUGUCAACAUAGUCCAGGUUAUGCUCAUCCGCCGGAUACUCCCAUGCCAACAAUGGGAGUUCACCUUGUGGGAGUUCAAUCCGGCACAACACCGAAGUCUGAACAGGCUCUUUGACACGACUCAUGAAGACGCCUGGAGGGUGUUGUUCAAAAGUGCCGAGGUCCGUCCCCCUAUUACUGAGGAUCGCGGAUUCAGCGCGAAGCGCCAAGCCAGUGCGGUAAGCUGCUUUACCUUUCACAUGAUACUUAUUUUUUAUAUAGAUUGACUCCAUGCGGGAUCUAAACUCCCGUACCUUUGACAGGACUGGCAGAAGAUGAACGGGCAGAUCGACUAUCCGUCUCCUUUGCCCGAAGGCCCCGCAGACGCUCUUCUGGCGAAGAUGCUGACUCCGGCCCCUUAUAAGGUGCUGGAGAAGACCAAGAAGGCCAAGGGGACCCGAAAGAGUUCCCGACGCCAGGCGUCGUCGGAGUUACCGUCCGAUGACUCUACGGCGCACUCUUCCCCUAAAGACGAGGAAGAGGAAUAAGAAGAUGCUCCCCCACCGACUGGGGGGGACAAGAAAAGGAAGGCCGCCCCAACCGGGGAGGCCGGAGGGUCCAAGAAGGGAAGGACUCUCCUUCCGGACAGUUCCACCGCCGCCGACGAAGGCGAAGGCGAGUGGUUUCCCGGGGUCAAGUCCCCGGGGAGAUCGUAAGUAUUCGGAUACCAAAGUAACUCCUAAGAUUCAUUUGUCGCACUGCUUUCCCUAACGCCGACCGCAAUUAUGCAGGCCGCCACGAGCCAGUAUCGAUGUAUCAUCGGACGGCUCCUUGGGCUUGUCGGACAUGGAUAGCGAUCCAGUCCCGACCGCCACCUCCCCUCAUCCAGCUAACAACGCCGAGGUGCUGUCUCAAGAGGCACCGGAUCGAGGGGAGACAGUCCUGGAGGCGCCUCAAGGCGACCUUCCGGACUCCAAGAGCUACGGGGACGGGGCCCCUGAGAGCUCCGAGUUCGGCCCUCAGCCGAACACCGUGCCAGACCCUCUAGUGGUUCCGGACUCGUGCAGGCGGCCUCCUUCUAAGAGGGGCAAAACGCCUGUGCCGGUGACCUCUGUCCAUCCAGAGGCACCGGAUAAUCUACUGGAAGCGCUUCGUUGUGCUUCCAUCGACGAGGAGCACUGCACUAUCAUGAGUGCGGUGAUCCAGAAGGUUCAGUCCGCCAAGAGCGGACUGACUGAAGCCUGUGCCAGCCUUCUAAUAGGCUUUGAGGUAAGUGUUUUAAAAUGUAGUAGAACUAUUACCGCAUAGGCAGUAGCCCCUGAUGCUUUAUUCGGUGUUCAUAAAGAAAAGCCGAACAGAGGAUCAAAUAAUAUCGCAGGAGUCUAAUAUAAUUAUGUCAAUAUGCAUAUGCAGGCUUCACUGCUAGCAUCCGCCGCACUAACUGCGGAGGUCGCCGUACUGAAGCAGGACCUCGAGGGGUCCAAGAAAGAGCUCGGCUUUGCCAGGAGGCAGCUCGAGGAGAACAAGGGUAAGUAAUACCCUGUCUACAGAUAUGUAUAUAUAAAAAAGGACGCGAUUGCAAAAUGACAGGAUCAUUGUAUGUUUGCCAGGGGCCACGACCGAGGUGGAGACCCUGAAGCAAGCGCUGACCAAGGCCGAAGGUACAGCGGCCAAGGAAUGCACCGAGCGAGAGAAGCAAGAGGCUCGGGUGGGCGAGGUGCAGCAAGAGCUCUAGGCUCUUGUGGCGAAGCAUGAGGCGUUGGAGCUUGACUCCAAGACGCGGGAGUCUGAGCUUGCCGCGGCCCUCGAGAGUGUGAAAAGUGCCAAGGCGGAAGCCCAAAAGGCCCUCCAAGAGAUCAACACGGUGAAGAAGAUAGCGGCGGGUAAGGCUUUCUUUAUGCAAAGCAAGCAUGUAAAAGUAAAUUACCGAUUACUUACCCGGAUCCGGAGCUCUUCAGGAGCAUUUGCAGAUUUGCCCGGCGGUGUGUCCAAUGCUGCACAAUUUUACCAGGCCGAGGACGGAAGCUCGACGGAGAAGCUGUCCUGAUCUUAGUAUGCUGAGGCCGAACAUCCGGUGCCAAUGAGCGACCAGCUGAAGCAGAUGGUCGAGCUACAUAAGGCGGCCGAUCAGGCCAUGAAGGGCUUUAUAGUCUAGCUGUGGCCUGGCGACGCCCUUCCGAACAGCUUCUUUGGCCUUGUGAGGUAGCUUGUGGAUGUCUGCCCACGGCUGGAGGUCGUCAAGCGAUCCAUCUGCAUUGAAGGUGCACGCCGGGCUUUCGCCCGUGUGAAAUUGCAGUGGGUCAAGCUAGACGCCGUGAAGCUGAUCAAGGAGGGGCCGCCACCCCGAGAUGUACUAUGAGGGUGUUCUGCCGGGUGCCCGUCUUAUCGCGGAUGAGUGUUCAAAAGAUGUAAUAUUUGAGUAAACUCGCUCCUUUUAUCCUGUAUUUAUGAAAACAUGUUACAUAUGCGCUAUGCAAAGCUUGUUUGAAUUUAAAAUAUUACCUUAUGUUUGGCUGUUUAUCCAAUCAGAGAGAUGGCUAGUCCUCGGCUUCUUCCCCCAUGCCACGAGUGCUGGUGUGUUCGGGAUAAACCUGAGCACUCUUGUUCCCAUAUUUUGGUCCUUCGAGGGAUGUGCUCAGCACAACGAACAAGGCAACCAGACUAAUAAUGGUUUCACUCUCACUUAGCCAUAGAAUUCUAUAAUUUUAAAUUUCGGCGAAGCCCCUAGUAUUCGAAACGCCGAAUUCGGGGCGCGAUACACGCCUGUAAGCCGGACAGGGCCGGCCCCUCGCCCUAAGCAGCAUAAGUCUUUAGGGACUCGAAAAACCUCGCCGAACAGCGACCAGUCUCUUGCCUUAUCAUGACAGUCUGUUUUAGCUUUCUCUACUGAGGUGCUUAGCCCGGCAGAACCGGGGCACAAUCGCAGUAGUUCUCCUAGCGCUACCUUAGCCGAUAGAGCGGAACGUAAGGUACCAAAACAUAGGAGACGGGCAAACCCACCAUUUGAGCAAAGACAUGAUUUGGAGCUGAUGCAUAUAAUGCUAUAAGUUCGGGGUGCCGCACUUGUGAAAGUGUUCGGACUUUUCACACCGCAUUGUGGGGUACGUAAGCCCCUGGUGUAUUGGCCGUACAAGAGUGUACGGUUGCAAGGCGUCAUUAAUGAACACACACACACACACACAAUAUAUAUAUAUAUAUAUAUAUAUAUAUAUAUAAAACAAGAAUGCAAUAAUAGUCGUAAUGUCUUGCAUUGUUUAUUGAAAAAUUGUGUUAAAGCAGAAUGAUACAGAUAGUGCGAUAAGCAAAGAGUAGGACUAUGUCCCUUCCAGGGGCAAGCUGAGGAAUGAUAUGAAAUCGAAUAUUUCGCUCGUUACUGUAAUCAACCUGGGAAUUCCAUGGUAUAAUGUAGCUAUCUGCCUCCUUGGUUGCUGCAUCAUGUGUUCGGCAAUAGUGCUGCCGGACAGUAUUUCCGGAGAUUAAGGUCCUGAAAGAAAAAGAAAAAUGACAAAACGGGAAGCCCCUUGUGCUGUUUAGGCCACGUUUUGGGGCAUGCCGCAGUUGUGCCCCCCUCCCCACCUGUGCCCAUGGUAUUUUUAAUGCGUAAUUGUGUACGCACGACACGAAUAUCACCGUUGGGCUGGGAUUGGGGUGGCUGUCGUAUUGCUACGCGAGCUCAGAUCGCGCCAGGCGGUCUAUUUGCCGAUUGCCCCGAGCGCACUUGAAGGUGUCUGGGCUUUGAAACGCUGAACUGGUUGCUUGCCUUGAGAGGCUGCUUUGCGCUUCUGCUGCGAGGGCCUAGGUGUGCUCUUCUGUUCGGAGAGAGCACUUUGUGUUUCCAUUGACUGUAAUAACUCCGCGAGAUCCUGGCAUCUUGAGCUUGAGGUAUGCAUAAUGCGGUACCGCAUUGAAUCUAACGAAUGCGGUUCGCCCGAGCAGCGCGUGAUAACCACUGUGGAACGGGACUAUAUCAAAGAUUAACUCUUCGCUUCGGAAAUUAUCCAGGGAUCUGAAGACCACUUCCAGUGUAAUUGAGCCUGUGCAAUGGGCCUCUACACCUGGAAUGAUGCCCUUAAAGGUCGUUUUUGUGGGUUUGAUCCUUGAGGGGUCUAUACCCAUUUUGCGCACUGUGUCCUGAUAAAGCAGGUUCAGGCUGUUGCCGCCGUCCAUAAGGACUCGAGUGAGGUGAAAUCCGUCGAUGAUUGGGUCUAGGACCAGUGCGGCGAAUCCGUCAUGACGCAUACUAGUGCGGUGGUCCCUGCGAUCGAAGGUGGUCGGACAGGAGGAGCAAGGGUUGAACUUUGGGGCGACUGGCUCCAACGCAUAUACGUCCCUGAGCGCACGCUUCCGCUCCCUGUUGGGGAUGUGGGUUGCGUAUAUCAUGUUCACCGUCCGCACUUGCAGGGGAAAACUCUUCUGUCUUCCAGUGUGCAGCUGUCGGGGCUCAUCCUCGUCAUCGCUAUGCGGCCCCUUGUCCUUGUUUUCGGCAAUUAACUUGCCGGCCUGCUUGAACACCCAACAAUCCCGGUUGGUGUGAUUGGCUGGCUUGUUUGGGGUGCCGUGUAUUUGACAUGAGCGAUCGAGUAUACGGUCCAAGCUGGACGGGCCCGGCGUACUUUGUUUGAAUGGCUUUUUCCGCUGACCGGGUUUAGAGCCUUUGAAUCCGGCAUUGACUGUUGUAUCCUUAGUAUUUUCGCUGUUAAUGCGGCGCUUAUGCUUGUUGCGACGUGACCUGCUAUUGCCGUCCUUGGUAUCUGAGGUACCAUGGUUUUUUGAUAUGUUAUUACUGCGAGCCAGCCAGCUGUCUUCUCCCACACAAAAGCGGGUCAUGAGCGUCGUGAGGGCUGCCAUAGAUUUCGGCUUUUCCUGACCAAGGUGCCGGGCUAGCCACUCAUCUCGGAUGUUGUUCUUGAAAGCUGCUAAGGCCUCCGCAUCUGGACAGUCGACGAUUUGAUUUUUCUUUGUAAGGAACUGAGUCCAGAAUUGCCUGGCCGACUCUUCUGGCUGCAAAAUUAUGUGGCUCAAGUCAUCGGCGUUUGGUGGUCGCACAUAAGUGCCCUGAAAGUUGUCGAGGAAUGCGGCUUCCAAAUCUUCCCAACAGCUAAUGGAGUCCGCUGGCAAGCUGUUAAGCCAAUGCCGCGCUGGUCCUUUGAGCUUUAGUGGGAGGUAUUUGAUGGCGUGUAAGUCAUCGCCACAGGCCAUGUGGAUGUGGAGGAGGAAAUCCUCAGUCCAUACUGCGGGAUCUGUUGUGCUGUCGUAUGAUUUUAAUGUUUACAGGUUUGAAACCUUCUAGGAAUUGAUGUUCCAUUACUUUGUCUAUGAAGCAUAAGGGGUGUGCGGAGCCGUUGUAUUGGUCUAUAUCUCGACGCAGCUCGAAUGGGUCUUUCCCGCUGUGUUCGGCCCGGCCGGAUUUGCUUUUACUGUAUCCAGGGUGACAUUUGUCAUCUCGCAGAGUGGUGCGCCCUCGUGAUCCAUAGAUCGAUCUUGAAUGCUUUGCCUUGUCCUCCAAUAUGUCUCGCAGGUCUGGCGUAUCUCCCCAUGCCUUUUUAUUUGAAUGGCGUUGGGGUGGAGGCUGAGCUUUUGGCUGGAAUGCCUCUCUAUCGCGGCCACGAGGUGGCCGAUCAGCCGUAUCAUAUGCUUCUUCCUCUAGUCGGGGUAGUAACCUGCGCCUUGGGUAAAUCUUGGAGGGGCGCUCGAGUUUAUAUUCCUCGGCCGCGAAGCUUCAGUCCAUUUGUCAGCCAGCAGAUCUUGAUCGGCUUGAAGCUGCUGCUGCUUUUUCUUCAGGCUAUUUGCCGUGGACAUAAGCCGGCGCUUGAAGAACUCUUGUUCGACGGGAUCCUCUGGGACGGCGAAUUCAUUGUCUUCGAGGCUUUCCUCAUCUUCGGAGGGGGGGGGUGUAAUUGUCAUCCUCCUCCUCUCCAUCUGCCGCUCUCUCAGGAGAGCUGGCUCCUUCAUCCUCCUGCUCUAAAUCUUGCUGGAGGGGAUUGUUGUUGUCUUCGGCACUGUCUAGGGUAUUAUUAUCUCCUAUGCCGGUAUCACCACUUUUGCUUUGGCGGGACUUAGAGCGGCGCCGCUGACGUCGGCACUUGGGUUGCUUCUUGGAGGGGUCAUCCUCCGCUAUCUCGUCGCCAUUGCCUUCAUUGGGUGUAUCCACCAUGUAUAUGUCAUAUGACGAGGUGGCUUUGCAGUGCCCUAUAGGUGCUGGUUCAUGUUUGUCUCCUACAUCGUCAUCCAUACCAUCGAUGUCUUCGGAGUCGAAGUCGAGCAUGUUUGUUAAAUCAUCGAUAGUGGCUACGAAGUGGGUGGUGGGUGGGCAUCGAAUUUCUUCGUCGUCCGCAUCCCAAUCCUGUUGGCCAUAAUCCGGCGAGGGCUCUCCUGACAAAGAGAGAGACCUUAGUGAAUUUAGAAUGUCGCCGAAGGGAGAGUGCUGAAAGAUAUCCGCGGCAGUGAAUUCCAUGAUUGUCGUGGGGAAUGGGAGCACGAGCACCUAUGGGGCAGGAGGGCCCCUUCUUGUCCGGCAAGGGAGCGGAGGGCGCACGCAGAGCAGAUCGAGGCGAGAGAGCGUGCGGGGGAUUUUACCCAGCUUCAGAGCUCUCCGGAGAGAUAAAAAUCCUACUGCUGCUUUGUGUCUUGUAUUCUGUUCUUGCUCGAGAGAGCGGGCGUGGCGUCGAAUCAGCCGAACCCCCAAGCUGUGGAACCAAAAUUCCGAACCUCUAGGCUGUGGAACCAAAAUUCCGAACCUCUAGGCUAUGGAACCAAAAUUCCGAACCCCCUCUACGUGCGCAUGGGCCUCCUUUUUAUAGGCUAAAGGGGUCACCGACAGGUGGCAGCGUAGAAAGAGGGGUAGAAAGGUAAAAACGCGGGUUGGUACAACUACUACCAACAGUGUCCCCUACCUAACUCUGGCGGCAGGGGGACAAGGGCAUUUAAUGCCCGUCUGUGUCGCCUAAUAGUGCCGAAAGGGACCGCUAGGGACGCCACCGUUUGCCAUGAUGGUUAUCUUGCCAGUGUCUGCUUGCCACCUCGCACCGCCAUGCUGUACAGCUACCCGCCCCGUGCACCAGGAGCGAUCUUGUGGCGACACGUCGUCGGGUGUGCUGGAGCGUGGGUGCAGAGUGGCAGCCCUGCCGUGGCAAGCGCCUUGCCAUGGCCUUUAUCUUGUCGCACCAGCCAGCUCGCCGCUCGCCGGGCCUUGCCGGGACGCGCGGGGUGUUGCGGCAAGUUUCCUUGGAGUGCCUUAGCUAGCCUUCCCGGCAAGCUCCUCUUGCCGGGGCCUUUGUCCUUCUCGGCAAGCUCCUCUUGCCGGGGCCUUGUAUUCUUCCCGGCCAGCUUCUUUUGCCGGGGCCUUGGUUGGCCUUCCCGGCAAGCUCCUCUUGCCGGGGCCUUAGUUUGAGUACUUUGUUCUUGAAUGGCAUCAAAAUAGCCGCUGAGGAUCUUGGCGGACGCCCGGCAAGCCCUGCCGCGGGUCGCUGCGAUUGCCCGUGCACAAGUUCAGGAUACUAA